UGGGGAAUAUUGCACAAUGGGCGCAAGCCUGAUGCAGCCAUGCCGCGUGUAUGAAGAAGGCCUUCGGGUUGUAAAGCACUUUCAGCGGGGAGGAAGGCGAUAAGGUUAAUAACCUUGUCGAUUGACGUUACCCGCAGAAGAAGCACCGGCUAACUCCGUGCCAGCAGCUGCGGUAAUACGGAGGGUGCAAGCGUUAAUCGGAAUUACUGGGCGUAAAGCGCACGCAGGCGGUCUGUCAAGUCGGAUGUGAAAUCCCCGGGCUCAACCUGGGAACUGCAUUCGAAACUGGCAGGCUAGAGUCUUGUAGAGGGGGGUAGAAUUCCAGGUGUAGCGGUGAAAUGCGUAGAGAUCUGGAGGAAUACCGGUGGCGAAGGCGGCCCCCUGGACAAAGACUGACGCUCAGGUGCGAAAGCGUGGGGAGCAAACAGG
rnacentral:rRNA from 1 species